UACGGAGGAUGCGAGCGUUAUCCGGAUUUAUUGGGUUUAAAGGGUGCGUAGGCGGGAUGAUAAGUCAGUGGUGAAACCCUGCAGCUUAACUGUAGGCUUGCCGUUGAUACUGUUGUUCUUGAGUAUGGUCAAGGCAGGCGGAAUGUGUAAUGUAGCGGUGAAAUGCUUAGAUAUUACACAGAACACCGAUAGCGAAGGCAGCUUGCUGGGCCUGUACUGACGCUGAUGCACGAAAGCGUGGGGAUCAAACAGG
rnacentral:rRNA from 1 species